UAAUUGGGGGGUUAAAGUAAUUUAUAAAGAAAAAAUAAUAAUUUUUAUAGUGAAAUAAGUAUUGUAUAAGAAAUUUGAAAUAAUUUUUGAAAAUUAAAUUAUUAAAAAGUAAUUUUUAUUUAGUGUAUCUUGGGUAUCAGAGUUUAUUUAAUAAAAUUUUAAUUUAAAAAUUCUCGAAUUUAAGAGAGAUAAUUAAUUAUAAAAGUUAUUGUUGCAUAAAUAUUUUAAAUAAUUAAUUGGAAAUGAAAUGUUAAUCGUUCUUAAAAAUAUCUAGUUUUUUUAGAAAAAAAUUUAAUUUUAAAUUUAUUAAAAUAAUAAUUAAUUAAUUAAUUAUUAUUUUAAUAAAUUUUAUAUUUUAAGGGAUAAGCUUUAAUUUAAAUUAAUAUAAUUUAUUAAUUAUAAUUUAUUGAAAAUUAUAUAAUUUAUAUUGUUAAUUAAUUUUAAUUUAUUAUAAAUAAUUUCAUUAAAAAUAAAAUUUAAUAUUUAAAUUUAUUUUUUUAUAAAAAAAUAAAUUAUAAUAAUUUAAUUUUAGUUAUAAUGAUAAAAUUAGUAUAUAAAUAAAUAAAAAUAGUAAUUUUUUUUUUAAUAAUUAUUUUUAAGGAAUUCGGCAAAAUUUUAUAUUCACUUGUUUAUCAAAAACAUGUCUUUUUGAAAAUAAUAUAAAGUCUAAUCUGCCCACUGAUUUAAUUAUUAAAGGGCUGCAGUAUUUUGACUGUACAAAGGUAGCAUAAUCAUUAGUCAUUUAAUUGAUGACUUGUAUGAAAGAUUGGAUGAAAUAUAAACUGUCUUAAAAAUAAAUUAUAGAAUUUAAUUUUUUAAUUAAAAAGUUAAAAUAAAUAAAAAAGACGAGAAGACCCUAUAGAGUUUGAUAAAAUUAUUAUUAUAAAUUAUUUAUAAAUUUAUAAAUUUAUAUUAAUUAUUUUAUUUUGUUGGGGUGAUAAAAAAAUUAAAAUAACUUUUUUUAAAUUUUUACAUAUAUAAGUGAAUAAAUGAUCCAAAUUUUUUGAUUAUAAGAAAAAAUUACCUUAGGGAUAACAGCGUAAUUUUUUUUUUUAGUUCAAAUAAAAAGAAAAGUUUGCGACCUCGAUGUUGGAUUAAGAUAAAGUUUAAAUGCAGAAGUUUAAAAAUUUUGAUCUGUUCGAUCAUUAAAAUCUUACAUGAUCUGAGUUCAAACCGGUGUGAGCCAGGUUGGUUUCUAUCUUUUUAAAUUUUAGAAUAUUUUAGUACGAAAGGAUUAAAUAUUUAAAUUAAAUUUAUUUUUUGAAUAUUAUUAAAAUUAUUUAAA
rnacentral:rRNA from 1 species